AGGGUACAACCAGUCCUUGUUGAGCUACAAUCAUAAUAUAUCCCCUGCUUCUUAUUGUUGAUAUAAAUUUGGGAUGAAAUGCAGAAAGUGGAAGAGCGUGUGAUAAUGAAAUUGAAACAGCGGGAGAAGAUGAUGUGAGGCUAAGGCGAGUUGUUGUUGAGGUGCAGUCGGAAAGAGUAAAGCAGAUACUUGACCACAACUGUCGCUCUACAGGACAGAAGAAGCCACGCAAAGCUCAUACACACCCGACCUAGGCUCCAACUAUGCUAAUGCUAUCAUCUGCUUUCAUUGGAUUUCAAAUACAUUGCUUCUUUUCUUUCUUUCAACCCAUAUGUAUAUACUUAUCUGCUGUCUACUAACAAACAACCGCGCUUAUUACAACUCGAUGCUACUCUAAUUAUGCAACUCUCCUACUCCUUGCUCAAA